rnacentral:rRNA from 1 species
AGUGAACGCUGGCGGUAGGCCUAACACAUGCAAGUCGAACGGCAGCACAGUAAGAGCUUGCUCUUACGGGUGGCGAGUGGCGGACGGGUGAGGAAUACAUCGGAAUCUACUUUUUCGUGGGGGAUAACGUAGGGAAACUUACGCUAAUACCGCAUACGACCUACGGGUGAAAGCAGGGGAUCUUCGGACCUUGCGCGAUUGAAUGAGCCGAUGUCGGAUUAGCUAGUUGGCGGGGUAAAGGCCCACCAAGGCGACGAUCCGUAGCUGGUCUGAGAGGAUGAUCAGCCACACGGGAACUGAGACCCGGUCCAGACCCCGACGGGAGGCAGCAGUGGGGAAUAUUGGACAAGGGGCGAAAGCCUGACCCAGCCAUACCGCGGGGGUGAAGAAGGCCUGCGGGUUGUAAAGCCCUUUUUUUGGGAAAGAAAAGAAGCAGGUUAAUACCCCGCUGUUCUGACGGUACCCAAAGAAGAAGCACCGGCUAACUUCGG